rnacentral:rRNA from 1 species
GGAGGUAGUGACAAUAAAUCACAAUGCGGGACUAUUUAGUUUUGCAAUUGGAUUGAGAACAAUGUACAAGAGUUAUCGAUAAACAAUUGGAGGGCAAGUCUGGUGCCAGCAGCCGCGGUAAUUCCAGCUCCAAUAGCGUAUAUUAACGUUGUUGCAGUUAAAAAGUUCGUAGUUGAAGUGUGGGGUGAAAGGUUUGUCUUUUGUUUUAAAAGAUGUUCUGCUCACCCCCUCUCCAAUGUGUUGUUAUGGGUAUUAAUUUACUUGUAAUAGCUAUUGGUCAUUUACUGUGAGAAAAUUAGAGUGUUCAAAGCAGGCAUUUGCUUGAAUAUAUUAGCAUGGAAUAAUAAUAAAAGGCUUUUAUGGUCGAUUUAAUUGGUUUGUUCAUGAAAGCAAGAUUAAAAGGGACAGUUGGGGGUAUUCAUAUUCAAUAGUUAGAGGUGAAAUUCUCGGAUUUAUGGAAGAUGAACAAGUGCGAAAGCA